rnacentral:lncRNA from 1 species
CCAAGAAAAGAUUUGUUGCUUUCAUACUUCUUCCAAAUGUAGAAUAACUACUGGUAUAACAUAGAAGAAAAGAAUUUUAUUUAUGAAGCCUUACAUAUUUGGCUACAAUUGACAUAUAAUAUUAAAACAACGUACAACAUACCCAAUAUAUCGUAAAGUGAGAUCUUAAGAUAAUAAAUUAUAGGCAAACUUGAUCUCUAUCUAUCUAAUCGAUAGGAAGGAUAUUUAUUAUAGAUCCCGGCUAAAAAAAACAUAUAUAAUAUUACAACAUUAAGUAAUAUUAAUGCUUUAUUUUUGCAAUACAACAAGUACAAGAACCACAUUGUUCCACACAAACUCUACAACUUGCAAUGACAUCAGGACUAACAUCACUUGUCUUAUGGGAUAAGAGGGUUCUGUGUGUAAUUGGAUUAUCAAAAACAAUAUCCCUUGAGCUACUAAUUGGGUUGAAGCAAAGUGAUGAUAAAACAAUGAAAAGAGCAAAAAUUGUUUUUGUGGUUCUUGCCAUUGUCACUAGAAGAGAGUGGAGACUAUGUUAUACAUGAAGUGAAAUACAAUUAAUUGGUCCUCCUUUAUAUAGAGGAAAUCAUGUGAAAAUAGAAGCAUUAAUUAAA